AGCCCCUCGUGCGGCGUCAUCUCUCUGAACCCCCCCAGGGCCGGAAGGCAGCAAGGGUAGGAGGGCUCUGGCGGGUGCACGGGGGGUCUUU
rfam:Streptomyces aureofaciens strain ATCC 10762 contig_55, whole genome shotgun sequence.